ACAACUUUCAACAACGGAUCUGUUGGUUCUGGCAUCGAUGAAGAACGCAGCGAAAUGCGAUAAGUAGUGUGAAUUGCAGAAUUCAGUGAAUCAUCGAAUCUUUGAACGCACAUUGCGCCCUUUGGUAUUCCAAAGGGCAUGCCUGUUCGAGCGUCAUUUGU
rnacentral:rRNA from 1 species